GACCAAAAACCUUGUGGUAAAACUGUCUUUUCUGGAUCACUUAAUCGAUAUCUGAUAAAUUGGAUAUUGAAAUGUUUGGGUGCAUUAUUUGAUAUUUAUAUACUUGUGUAUGUCUCUUUCAAUUUCACUAAACCUUUUUGAGAGGGAGAACUUGUAAUUCUGCAAACUGUUCACCGUGAGCCUCUCGGAGUUUGAGGUCGCAUUGGAGCAAUUCAAAACCCAACGGACUGACUUUGAAGAACAAGAAAUAAUUUUCUUAAACCAUGAGAAGAAUUUUCUGAAAUGGCAAAGAAAUUACUUUUCAAAUGAACAGAACUUUAUUUCUGCCACCAGCACACUCAGAGGCAAACCUAAGGUCCAUGGUAAAUGGAAACCUUCAUCUCUUGACUUGUGGAUCGCUACUAAGAAACUCCUAGAGACACGGGAGAUGCUGUAUGAGGCUCAGAAGAGAAGCUAUAGCGAGUAUGAGAGGGGAUUCUUAAUGUACAAGAGAAAGUUUGAGGAGCAUAGAAAAACUCACCGAGAACUGAUGAAGAAGUAUCAAGAGAUGUGGUCCAAGGUUGAAGCAUGAUGAUUAAAGACUGGAGUCCUGCACAAAGCGGUGAUCUCAUUUGUGUAAGGCUUCGGUUUAAAUGCUAUUAACAAACUAUGUGAUUUCAUUAAUUUGUUGUUGGUUUUAGAGCACUUCCAUUUGCUGUUGGCUUUGGAGCACUUUCAUCUGUUGGUGAGCUAAACUCAGUGACUAUCAUAUUUAGUUGCGUUUAGCUCUGAUUGUAAUGUUAUAUGCUAUGUGGAUGGCUAUCUGUGGGUGGACCUGACUAUAUGUAGCAACUUCUUUUCUGAUAUAUGCAUUUUGGGUAUAA